rnacentral:rRNA from 1 species
GACGAACGUUGGCGGCGUGCUUAACACAUGCAAGUCGAACGGAAAGGCCCUGCUUUUGUGGGGUGCUCGAGUGGCGAACGGGUGAGUAACACGUGAGUAACCUGCCCUUGACUUUGGGAUAUCUUCAGGAAACUGGGGCUAAUACCGGAUAGGAGCUCCUGCUGCAUGGUGGGGGUUGGAAAGUUUCGGCGGUUGGGGAUGGACUCGCGGCUUAUCAGCUUGUUGGUGGGGUAGUGGCUUACCAAGGCUUUGACGGGUAGCCGGCCUGAGAGGGUGACCGGCCACAUUGGGACUGAGAUACGGCCCAGACUCCUACGGGAGGCAGCAGUGGGGAAUAUUGCACAAUGGGCGGAAGCCUGAUGCAGCAACGCCGCGUGCGGGAUGACGGCCUUCGGGUUGUAAACCGCUUUCGCCUGUGACGAAGCGUGAGUGACGGUAAUGGGUAAAGAAGCACCGGCUAACUACGUGCCAGCAGCCGCGGUGAUACGUAGGGUGCGAGCGUUGUCCGGAUUUAUUGGGCGUAAAGGGCUCGUAGGUGGUUGAUCGCGUCGGAAGUGUAAUCUUGGGGCUUAACCCUGAGCGUGCUUUCGAUACGGGUUGACUUGAGGAAGGUAGGGGAGAAUGGAAUUCCUGGUGGAGCGGUGGAAUGCGCAGAUAUCAGGAGGAACACCAGUGGCGAAGGCGGUUCUCUGGGCCUCUCCUGACGCUGAGGAGCGAAAGCGUGGGGAGCGAACAGGCUUAGAUACCCUGGUAGUCCACGCUGUAAACGGUGGUACUAGGUGUGGGGUCCAUUCCACGGGUUCCGUGCCGUAGCUAACGCUUUAAGUACCCCGCCUGGGGAGUACGGCCGCAAGGCUAAAACUCAAAGGAAUUGACGGGGCCCCGCACAAGCGGCGGAGCAUGCGGAUUAAUUCGAUGCAACGCGUAGAACCUUACCUGGGUUUGACAUGGAUCGGGAGUGCUCAGAGAUGGGUGUGCCUCUUUUGGGGUCGGUUCACAGGUGGUGCAUGGCUGUCGUCAGCUCGUGUCGUGAGAUGUUGGGUUAAGUCCCGCAACGAGCGCAACCCUUGUUCACUGUUGCCAGCACGUUAUGGUGGGGACUCAGUGGAGACCGCCGGGGUCAACUCGGAGGAAGGUGGGGAUGACGUCAAGUCAUCAUGCCCCUUAUGUCCAGGGCUUCACGCAUGCUACAAUGGCUGGUACAGAGAGUGGCGAGCCUGUGAGGGUGAGCGAAUCUCGGAAAACCGGUCUCAGUUCGGAUUGGGGUCUGCAACUCGACCUCAUGAAGUCGGAGUCGCUAGUAAUCGCAGAUCAGCAACGCUGCGGUGAAUACGUUCCCGGGGCU